rnacentral:rRNA from 1 species
GACGAACCGUGCAACCGUUGUUCGGAAUCACUGGGCUUAAAGGGCGCGUAGGCGGGCAAGCAAGUCGAAGGUGAAAUCCCACGGCUCAACCGUGGAAGUGCCCCCGAUACUGCUUGUCUUGAGGGAGAUAGGGGCGUGCGGAACUUCCGGUGGAGCGGUGAAAUGCGUAGAUAUCGGAAGGAACAUCGGUGGCGAAAGCGGCGCGCUGGAUCUCUUCUGACGCUGAGGCGCGAAAGCCAGGGGAGCAAACGGG